GGUGGCUCAGUGGAAGAGCGCUUGCCUAGUAUGCAUGAGGCCCUGGGUUCGAUUCCUCAGAACCA
rnacentral:tRNA from 1 species